rfam:Caloranaerobacter azorensis H53214 contig91, whole genome shotgun sequence.
GUUUCAAUUCCUCAUAGGUACAUUAUAAAC